rnacentral:rRNA from 1 species
UGGGGGAUAUUGCACAAUGGGCGAAAGCCUGAUGCAGCAACGCCGCGUGAGGGAAGACGGUUUUCGGAUUGUAAACCUCUGUCUUCGGUGAAGAAACAAAUGACGGUAGCCGAGGAGGAAGCCACGGCUAACUACGUGCCAGCAGCCGCGGUAAUACGUAGGUGGCAAGCGUUGUCCGGAAUUACUGGGUGUAAAGGGCGCGCAGGCGGGGAGACAAGUCAGCUGUGAAAACUAUGGGCUUAACCCAUAAACUGCAGUUGAAACUGUUUUUCUUGAGUGGAGUAGAGGUAGGCGGAAUUCCGAGUGUAGCGGUGAAAUGCGUAGAUAUGCGGAGGAACACCAGUGGCGAAGGCGGCCUACUGGGCUCUAACUGACGCUGAGGCGAGAAAGUGUGGGGAGCAAACA